AGAGGCUGAGCAUUUCUCCAGGUGCCCCUCCAUCAUAUCACUCAUGCACCAUGAGAAGCAGAUGGGGUCUUGCAGGGUUGCUACUUCUAGCCAUCAAGGUCUCGGGGCUGAAAACAGGUGAUCUAGAUGCCACUAUGGGCCUACGGUGUUUCCAACCAUUUCACCACAAGUUUGUGAACUGCAGCUGGCUGACCUGGGAAUCUCAAAAUGCUAACACCGUCUACGUCCUUCACUAUGAAAGCCUAAAGUUGGGCAAACUGCUGCCGUUAGUGAGCCUUUAUAUUGAGUUAUAGUACAAAUAUCCAAAUUAAUAAGCCAUUGUCUUUUUCAACCAGAACCUUCUAUGCUGGCCAGUGUAAUCUAUGGCUAAAUGACUUUAUUUGGAAAGUAUAGGGAAUUGCAGAGCAAAGGAAUACCUAUUAGGAUUUUACAGUUUCAUGAAUGAAGGUUUUGGUCUAGAUGGGCCAAUAUUGGAGAAAUAUGGAAUAUUAAGGAAAAAUAAUGGAAGAUGAUUUGUCAGUUGAUUUGAGUGGAUUGGGAGCUCUGAAGAGAGAUUUUUAGAAGGGCACAUAGGAACUACCAUCAUAAACAGCAAACGUCAGAAGUCUUUUCACUAAAGCCAAGAUGCAAUGGAGAAUAUAAGAACCUUGAAGGAAUAUGGAAUUUAAAUUAUCUGUAGAUGUUUAGUGCACAGAAAAGAAGGAAGAAUCCUUUCUAAAUCAUGAUUGUGCUUUAAAAGCUUGUUUUUAAUAUUUAGCUGGCUUAGGCUUUUCUUUCUUUAAAAAUUAAAAGUUCUAUGUAGAAUCAUUUCUAUAAUUACUGACACCAGGCAAAAUCUGCAAUUUUGCAAUGAAUAAAAGGCAGAGACGGUUGGAAGUCAAGAAUAAUAAUUUAAAAAGGGCUUAGGGGGAACUAGACAAACAUUCUAGGGUAUCUAUUUGGUAUUCAUUAUUAUAGUAAAAUGCUUCUGUGCCUUUUAUUGGCAAGUCUUCAAAUAUGCCUGCUUGGACAGGAUAGCUGAAUGGAUAAGGAAUAGUAAAUGUUUAGUUUCCAUUUAUAUAAACUACUGUUAGAUAUAUCCAUGUAUCCUUAUUUUUCUGAAGACAAUUUGACCAGGUACACUCCGUGGCAGCCCAAAUGGGACAGAAUUGGCUGGUUAUUGAACGAUGGAAACUGACACAUGGAGACGAAUACAGUGUCUGGAUGGAAGUUCGCAGUGCAGAUGGGAUUGCUGUCUCCAAGAAAUUAAACUUCAGCCUGGAUGAAUUAGGUUAGAGAAACUAAUUUAGAGAGCCAGAAUCCUCUGAGAAUUAAUCUGGGCAAACAUUUUUUCUUCAAAUAUGUGCCUUGCUUUUCUUGCCUAUUUGUGCAGGCCAAGUUUUGCCCCCCUUUAGCUAUUGCCAUUCUGAGGAAUUUUAUGGGGCAUUUCAGAUAGUAGACAACUGUUUGACUGUGGAAGUUCAAGACUGGGUCCCAACCAUAAAGAAGGAUUGGAUUUACAGUAAGACAGAUGCCUUAGUCUCCAGAUAUCUUGACUACAUUCACACAUUUUUAACAGCUAUGACAUGCUUGGCUUGCUUGUGACUUACAGUAAUGUGAAAAUCCAAUAAGUUGUGGCUUAUUCAAUAAACCAUUGAUAUGAUGAGAGAGCCAUGCCUCUCUUAUGCAUUGUGCUAAAUCAAGAUUUUGGUUUGUUGAAUAUGCCAAACACAUAUUACUAAUCCACCAUCCAUUGUUUCACACACUGCUCAAUGACAAACAAACCAGCCCUAUUUUGGUUUAGUGUAGUGUGUGUGUGUAGAUCAAUGCUUUUGUCAGUAGGUAUGGCAGUCAGGACUAAAACUGAAUGAUAGGCAAAUGAUUAAGCUCUUCCCCUCAAGUUUCAGGGACUCCCUGUCUUCCUGAACUGGAUCAUGUGGAACUGGAUUGCUCUGAAGCCACAGUGACAUGGAAGAACCCGCAGUGGUCUGAAUUUCAUAAUGAUCAAUCUCUCACCUAUGCUAUUCGAUACAAGGCAUCCACAGACCAUGAAUGGACCUAUGUGAGUCUGUCUUGCAUUUGUGACUUGUUUUGUAUAUAUAUUGCUUUUCUUUCCCAUUGUAUCAGUUGUGACUCCCUGUUGAAUAUCCAUUCCAUUGAACUACAGCUGGCUUUGUCUAGGAUUUCUUCUUCAACCAACUGAAGACAGUUUCCUGGAGGCCAGUCCCAAACUGUUGCUCUAGCUAUUAUAUCUUAUAUCUUGCUCUAGCUAUUAUAUCUGUCACAAUAGUGAAUAUGAUAUAGAUCUGUAUCCAGCAUGUUCUCC
ensembl:lncRNA